UACUUCUUGGUGUUUAAGGCAUGUUAUUCUUCCAUCAUUCUCAAUUUUGUAAAAGCAUGUGAUUUAAAGUAUUGUUCAUGAGAUGUUUAUCUUGGUUUGAAACAAGGGUUAGGGCUUUUGAUUGCUUAUUAUUGAAUAAUAUUUUUCCAUGGUUUAAUUAUAGUUAUUCAUACUUUAAAUAUGGUUAUGAACAUGUGGUGCAUGGGAAUGACGAAUAGAAAUAGGGGUACAAUGGAAUCCCUAAAUUGAUUGUUUUGAUAUGAAAAUUGGUAAUAAACUCAACCCAUUUACAUAAUUGAUUUUGGUUUAUGCAUUAUCACUUGGCUUGACUUGUUUCCUGAAAUUAAUACAUGGUAUAAAUGGUUAAAUGGUUAAGAAUGGUUUUAAAAACCUUGUGGAGUACAAUAGAAUCCCCUAAGUGAAUGAUUUAUGAAAACCUUGUAGGGUACACGGGAAUCCCCCAAGUGAUUUUAAUAAUGGAGUCCGUGAGGUACUUGGGAUUCCCCUAAGUAUUGGCUAAUGACAUUGCUUGCUAGCUACAGUCGGUAGGACGAUACCACUUAAUAAUGCCUUAAUAAUUAACUCCUAAAAUUGGUGAUUUUGUUAUGUGUUAGAUGUUUUAAUUGGGCAAUAAUGGGGGUUGUGAUAGCUAGCCGUAAAGGUGUGGGUCCGAAAGACGGAUACUAGAAACUUAUGUUGGCCGACAUGAGGGUUUGUUUUGAUGACUGUGUUCUUUUGGGGGUACAAGGGAAUCCCCCAAGUCUAUACACGUAUAUAUGUAUCAUGGAGGGCGAAGGGUACAAGAAAAUCCCCGACCAUUUGUAAUAUCUCCGAUAUGUGCGACUAAUACGCACUGGGGCCAGUUCAGGGGGUAAUACUGGACCCAUAUAGCCUAUGGAUGGACUUAUGACGGUAAAGCUACAGAACCCCAGUUAAGGUUUUAAAGUGCAUGCUAAAUCUGGUUCUCUAUCCCAGCAUGGUAUAUAUAUGUAUAUAUGUAUUUUCAUAUGGUUAUGUGCAUUGGUUUGACUGGUUUUGGAUUGAUGACAUUACUUUAUCUUUAUCCCUGAAUUACAUGCUAGCGUUCACCUAGCUAAACGUCUUCGAACGUUGUAUCCCCAUGCGAUGCAGGAACCAACCAUACUUCCACUCCUCCUGGUCAGUGACUAGGUGAUUCGGGGUCAACUUUUGAGUUAGAUUGAAGUGGUGAGCUUCCAUACUUCCGAAGACCCCAUUUCAUGCUAAGGAUUUCUUUGUCUUUACUAUUCCUUUUGGUCAUAGUUUUGGCUAUGGUCGGGGGCAUGUCCCGACUGGAUAUUCUUUAGUUUGAUUAUAGGCUUUGUCGGACUAUUGUAGGCAUGGACAGUACUGGUAUUGGUUGCUUGUUUGGUUGUGGAUGGUUGGUUUUAGGUAUAAACUUAUUAUAAUGUCUUUAAAUUGAUAUUCUCUUAUCUUAUUAUAUGUUUGGAAUUCAUCCGACAUGGGGUGUAAGGUGGUCAAUAGUUGGAUAUUGGGGGUGGUCUCCGAUCCUAGUUUGGGUAUUGGGGGUGGUCAGCAUUCUCACUUCUCAUAUCUCCAGGUUUUGUCACCAAAAACCUUCCCUGUUUAAUAGAAUGUUCCGCUACUAACACUUGAAAAAAGCAUUUUUCAAGGUCUCGUCGCUUCAGUGAAUCACUUGAGCCCUGAUACGUUUUUGGUGCCAUAGAGCUAGACCCGCGAACUAUUAUGCUUUCUUCAACGAAUGGCUGCUUCCAAGCCCACCUUCUGGUUGUCAUCGCUCGAUCACUUCUUUUUCCACUAAGAGAUUGCUUAGAGACCUUAGCAUACGAUUUGGGUUGUUUUCCUCUCGACUUUGGAUCUUAACAUUUUUGAAAGUUUGUCAUGUACAAAUGAUCUAAGCCUGUAUUCGGAGUUUCCCUAAGGUUGGUAAGGCUAAAUGAGUCCACCCCACCCUAUUGACUGCUCUACAUCAGGCCAUCGACAUCAUGUGCUCUACUGAAAUAGAUUUUGUGAAAAAAUAGCUAUAUCCAAUCUUGGUUGGCCUUUCACCCCUAGCCACAAGUCCUCCUCGUAUUUUGCCACAUACAAAGGUUCGGUCCUCCAAGGACUGGUAGAGCUCUCUUCAACUUGCACAUGGCUAAAUCAAUCGAUUUUGGGUCAAAUAGGAAGAACUAGAGUGAGUGAGUCGUUGUUCCCAUUUCCUCGCUGACCCUUCAUACAAAAGGUACGUCGUUAGAGUGAGUGCACUUUACAUAAAGUAAAGGCUCUAAGCUUCACUCCUUUGACUGAUCGUUUGCAUCAGAUCUCAGGUUCUCUAUUGCACUCCCUAAAUAGGGUUCUUUUUACCUUUCUCUCACUGUACUUAUAUGCUAUCUCUCAUUCGUGAAUUCUUAGGCUUAGAGGGUGAUCCCCUUUCUCGCGUAAAAGCAAUCAGAAUUCGAACAUACAACGUUUUACUGGGAAAGAUUGAACCAUGGGAAUGAAUCUACAAGGCUAUCACCUUCUUUGGCUAGAUCUUCUAAUUUUUCAUAAUUACAGUUCACUCUCAUUUAAAAGGGCGAUAGCUUGAAAGCAUACCUUAUUAUUAAAGAAAGGUUUGGAACGAAAUAGCUUGCUUAAAAGGACAGGAACCCUAACCAAUGUUUUGGAUUUUGGAGUUUUUGCCCAACCCCAACCUAGGUUAGGGGGUCGUUAGACUGUAGCUUGUUGCCGAAAAACGUUGUUAGGCUGGCACGGCUUGCUUCGCUCUUCAAGCUCCGCCCCUUUACUCAACCUCAACAUCUAUAAAAAAAACUUUCUCCUUUUCUAAAUAAGGUAAGCUUUGAAGUCUUAGCUUGCAGGUUUUUCCAUCAUCCAAUCCACAAUAAAUUGAAUGAAAUUUAGCGAAAAAAAAGUGAACACUUUGCUGAGGAACGAAGUAGCUCGCCUAAAAGGAGAGGAAUGAAGUUUCGUUUUUGUUUUUCUUCAAACCCCCACUCCACUCUCGCUCGACGCUACUAACGAGGUCUCAAUUAAUUUCCCUUUCUUUAGCUACUAAGAUGUUUCAGUUUGCUAAGUUUGAAAAGUCCAAAAGUGCAGACUAGACACAAAGCUUGGAUACAAUUUCCCGAUCGGAGAUCCAUGGAUCAUAGACAGUAUCUCCCCAUGGCCUUUCAUCUUUGUAAAUGCCAUUCCUUCUCAAUGCCCCGGCCUUCAUCCAAUGCAUUCUUUUCCAUCUUAUACCCUAUGUAGGCUUGCAAAGCAUAGGCUAGACAACCAAUACACUUCACACCAAUCCAAUCUCAACAAAAAAAAGGAAAAGCAAGUACAUCCUUAACAGUCUUUAAUCCUGACGUGGACACCCGCUUUCUUGGAACUAAUUCAUAGGCACUUUCCAUUAGUUAAACUUCACACAGUAUAUAAACAAAUAGCUGUAGCAUGCGAUAGAAAGCGAAAAAACAAAUUGAUUGACUAUUGAGUAUAAGCCUGUAAAUAGACGACUAUAGGUAUUUCAAGCGCGCUUAAGUCAACUACAACUAGAAGGUAUGACGAUCUUGCCACCCCUUUGAUUAUGAAAAGUUCCAAAUAGGCACAUAGUAGUUUGGAGUAGGAGUGAAAGCCACUUGACUGGUUGGAAAGGAGCUCUAAGUUGGUAGUCAAAAGUAGAAAUGAUCAUGUGUGCUCCAAAGCUAUUGGUGUCAUCAUCCUACAAAGAGGUGGAACCAAGAACACUAGCCCCAUUUUCUAGACUAGUUGGGACGACCUAUCCAGGUGAAUAAUGUUCCACUGAUUAGGCAGGGACAGAGUUCGAACCUGCAAUCUUCAAGUCAUGAGCCUGAUGAGUUGACCAAAUCUUGUACCCCGCUUGUUCCCCUUCUCUUUCGCGCAACAAAAAUUAAUCAAAGUUUACACUAAAUAUACACUCAAUUGUGUAUGUUGUAUGUACGUAUGCAUAUACAUAUUGAAACACAAUAUACACUACCUAUAUAUAUUGAAAAUAUUUGUAAAGUAGAUGGCCCAAAGUCAUUGGACCUUAAUUUUCUCUAUUUUUCCAAGGUAAAACGAUUGGUUUCUUAUUUGCACGCGCCCACUUGAAACAGAAAGGUAUAACUGCACACCAAUGCUCUAAACAAUGAAUGUAGACGCAUUUCUUCUAAAGUAAAAAGUAUACAACAGGGACGAGAAACCAAACUCUGUUCAGUUUUGCUAGUAACAAUUGGAACCUAAAUCCCCCAUUAAAACAGUUCAAUUUCUAGAGUGGAAAAGGUAAUUCAAACCAAAAUUAGUGGACUGGAGGAAAAUACAAGCUUACGAUGGUUUUAAAAACUUUAAAAAGGAUAUUUGUAGUAAAUCUCAGUGGAAGCUAUACAUGUCCCUUAGGUAACUUGCCACAACUAGAACUGGAAGUAUUAGACUCCAGGAGUUCGUUCAAUGGUCAACGGUUCAUAUGUAAAUUAGGUGGUCCUGAGAUCACGCAUCAGUCCUUGAGGCCAAGCUUACCAUCUCACUUCAAGAAAAUCUCUCUACACACACGACGUAACAACAAUAGAAGUAUUGAACAAAGUAGAGUAUCGCAGAACUGCUAUAUACACCAAGAUAGGCAUUAUGUUCACAUCCUAUUAAGAGAUCAUCAAUUAGUGUAACUGACCAUGCGAGUGAGUGCAUCAUCUCCCUCGCAAGGCACAUUGCAAUGACCAAGCACAGAUAUAACUGUACCAUAAAGAAAAAAUUGAAAAAGAUACAGUUCUGGGAGUUAAGAGUGGCCCAUUUACAGCAAACACCUUUAAUGCAAGAGAGUUCGAAAUUCAUCCACCACGACGUGGGCAAACAUUAGCAAAAUGACCAGGAUCACCGCAGAUGAAACAUCUGCCAGUUAUUGGUUCACCUGUCGCCGCCACAAAUGACACACUACUGGGAUAUGCACCACCCUGGCCACGACCACGGCCACCUCUUCCGCUGCUAGUAGAUGCAGAAGUAUUUGCACGCUCUGCUCUUCCUCGGGUGAGGUUAUCUUCCCAUCUAUAAUACAGAAAAGAAAAAAGGUGUAUCAACUAACAAACUACUUUAGCAUUAUCAAGAACUGAGUAAUACAGAUGGGUUUGAGCAAUUAUAACGAAGCUCCGAUGCCAGCAAUUCAAUUUUUUUGUCCUCUAGAACAGCUGUUACAUCCAAUACAUAAAUGGGUUCUAGCAGUAUAAUGAUGUGGUUUCUAUUAGCAGAUGUGCGUCAGCUAUUAAAGUGAGAUAGCCUGACAGUUUUUUACAGAUUGGCCAAACAGAACAUGAUAUUGUCAACUAUGAGUUAUGACCAGUCUGGAACAGCUUUUGGGUGAAGAACUAUAAUUAAUUCUCAGGGUUAACAGAGUUCUGUCGUUAUAGGCCAUGGAUCAAAUUAUAAUCAAGAAUAGGAGUUUGAGGUACACAACAAGAAAGAAAAAAUGUACACGGUAAUAGCAUCCAGGCUGGUCCACUUGCAUUAAGAUUGAUGGGCUUCAAUGAAAUCAAGAAGAUGCUUAUGAUGGAAGAAGAGCCCAAGAACGAGUCUAAGAAUUAUGGAGAAGAAUGGGCAAAGUGCUACACAUAUUUCAUGAUUCAAGUCCAAGCCCAAAAGGAAGAAGAUUGAGCUCAUAUGGGUUGUGAGUAAAUUUGAAAACUUUUCCUUAUUUCUUAGGAGAGAAUUUUUGGUAUUAUUUUUACAUGCUUUCCUAGUCCUAGUAAGAUUUUAUUUAUUAUUUUCAUAAUAGUGGAUCCUAAUCCCAUGCUAUUUGGGAUAACUUUUUCCUAGUCCUAGUUAGAUUUGAUAAAGGUAGAUUUCAAUUCCAUGCUAUUUGGGAUAGGUUUUUUUUUUCCUAUAUAUAGGGAUGGAUUUUGUUAUUUUUAAUCAGAUAAUAUUAUUAUUAAUUGAGAGUUUCUCUUAUUUACACAUUUGUGUGUGGCUACUUGGGAUUUAUCUUACAAUCCUAUAAGAACGAUUCUUUAGGAGGUAAGAUUAAUUCUUAACUUGAUAUCUUUGGUUUCUAUUAAAGUUAAUUAAAGAAGGUGAUUAGUCUUAUACUAAUUGUUGUCUUUAAUUUCUUCAAAAUAGGGGUCUAGAUCACCUUUNNNNNNNNNNNNNNNAGGUAAGAUUAAUUCUUAGUUUGAUAUCUUUGGUUUCUAUUAAAGUUAAUUAAAUAAGGUAAUUAGUCUUAUACUAAUUGUUGUCUUUAGUUUCUUUGAAAUAGGGGUCUAGAUCACUUUUGAUCUAAGUUCUUGAAUUGACUCUAUCAGUAUCAUAAUUAGUCUUAAUCCGCUAAUUUUGAAUACUAAGAUCAAUUAGGAUUCUUAGCACUUAACCUCGAAAUUGGGGAUUUUAUUCUCCAAUUUUGCCUAUCUUUAAUUUCUUGCCUUUAAUUUUAAUAUUUUUGCUUCCGCAUUAUUUUGUUGUUUAUUAACGUAACCCGAUUCUUAUCACAUAGUAAGUUUGCAUGUGGAAACAGUGUCCAAAUAUAAAGACUCAUGUUGAAAAUUAGUUUUCCUUACACGAAAAAGUUGCACCCCUGUGAUUGACAUGAAAAGAAUUUUCUUCCCCUGUUGUUAGCAGUAUUGGCAGUGCGCAAAAUGCAAGGCGCUCCACAUGAAUUACAAGGAAUUGAAGGUUCUCCUGCAUUGUCAGAAGGGAUCAGCUAUAAAGUUAUUCAAGGAUCAUAACAUUCAACGUAAGGUGUCAACAAGGUCAUAGUAAUUAACAACAGAGAGGAACUUCCAUAUCAUAUCCCAGACCAAUAUUUUUCACAUUUUGAAUUCAAUUUUCACGGUGUCACUUCAUGUACUCUUUAGUUGGUUUAACAAAAUUCUAAAAUUGAUAGGACUAGAAGUGGAAAGGCUAGAGAGUAAAUGUAACACAAGAACAUCCUCAGGUUGGUAAGGGUUGUAAGCAGCUAGAUAACCAAAUUGUAAUGGAUAUCUCAUACUCAAAGACCAAUAUGGAGCCAAAGCCUAAAGUGAUAACUUUUUCUUCAUUCCAAGAAUUCAACUAUGGAUAAUGUUAAGAGUCGUACAUCGGAAAAACUUGAACAAUCCUCCCCUCAUGAGCUAGCUUUUGGGGUUGAGUUAGACCAAGAUCCAUUUCUUUCAUGGUAUCAAAGCCAGUUCCAUCCCAAUUCUUUGUUCCCUGAUGCUAGCCACUCAUAUUAUAUUGUCAUACUCCGGCUAACGAGGUCUAGGCAGUGUUGAGUCCCACAUCGAAAAAUGGAUGGAUAAUUGGUCUCUUUAUAUGAGCUUGGGUAAUCCUCCCCUCAUGAGCUAGCUUUUGGGGCUGAGUUAGGCCCAAAGAUCCAUUUCUUUCGGAUACAAAAGAUAAAAAACAUAGACUCUCAUUAAGUUUCAAAACCUAUGAUAGAAGUGGCAAAGUUGACAUCAACAACAAACCCAGUAUAUUCCCACAAAGAGGGGUCUGGGGAGGGUAGAGUGUACGCAGUCCAUACCACUACCUCUAAUUGACAUAUCUGUGUUUAUUUCAUCAUAAUUGGUACCAUUGUCUUAAAUAUGAGCCAACAUUUGUAAAGAAAAUCAAUCUUUGGCCCAACUUAACCCCAAAAACUAGUUCAUGAGGUGAGUAUUCUCAAUACCAUAUAAUCACUCCCAGGUUUAGACACCCCGAGCAUGGACAACAUAACAAUGGGUGAACCAAGAACAUGGAUGGAUCUGACUCAGAAACCGUAUGAAGAAAACGGGUCAUGCGCCUAACUCAACCCUAGAAGCUAUCUCAUGAGGUGAGGAUUGUCAAAAAAAAGACAUACAAAGAAACAACACCACAUUCCUUCCACCAAUGCUAACAACAUUAUUUGAAGGCGAUGAUGUCAGUCUCCUGAGCAACUACAAGUCAACACGACGACAAGUCAACCAUGGACAAGCAUUACUUUUGCCUCAUUAUCUUUCCACAGGGAGGGUGAGAAAGUUGCAGGUGUUGGUCAUUAUACAAAAGAUACACAGAUAAGGUAACAGAAGAGCACCAAACCAUUUUGCAAGUCAACUUCCUGAGACAGAGCAGUGCGACCACGAGAACCUUGUGAAGGACAAUCAUUUGACAAAUGCCCUGCUUGCCUGCAGUAUGCACAAGAACUUUGUGCUCUGGAAUUGCCUCUUUGUGCACUGCUGGAUGAUGUAGGGUUUCCUCUUCCUCUGCCUGGCAAAAGAAACCCAGCUACAGUCAGUCCUAAGGAAACAAGUAUAUCACUUUAGAAAUUAAGUUCCUACAGCGACAAAUAAAUCAUCAUAUUCAUACCAAAAGUCUCAGAUUGUUUGAUUACUAUGCACUCACCAGUCUUUCCUAACUAAAUCGUUAAUUGGAAAAAAAAAAAUUACUCAAGUACAUAGAAUAGGCUGAAAGUUUAGUUGGUUAGCUGAUGGCAGCCAAAAUAGUCGACAAAAAGUUCCUAAAUGAAAGUCAAAUGAUUAAUGUUGAGGAGGAGACUGCUCUUUGACUAUGCUUUUCUAGUUUUACUUCUUGAAAGUGCAGUAGUUUGAAAGUCAUGUACAGAAGCUCUGUGUAAGAGAACCUAAUUACGGCUAGCAUUUAGUCUAAUAAGAUAAUUGUGGAAAGUUGUAAGAAAACUUGUAAAGAAAGGUUAAAACUUAAAAGAAUUUCAAUAAAAUGAAAAUAAGUUGUAUUGAUUGUUAUAAUGAUUGGAUGAUGUCCAUCUCUAUACAAAAGAUCCUACUCGUGCAUAUGACCCGUAGCUAGAGGCGUAAGGGGGUUUAUCCGAAAACCGUUCUCCUACACUAUAUAUAAGGUCAUACACCACAUAUGACCGGCAGCCAGUGCGGAAGGGGAUUCAUCCAAACCCUGUUCUCUUACAUUAUAAAUAAGGUCAAAUUCAAUUGUUAGGUAUAUAUAUCAUGUACUUAAUUUGCUUGACACAGUUCAGAAGCUUGGCUCAAUGGGAAAGGGGGUUCAAAACAAAAUUUCCCCAAGGUCACUGGUUGACUGGUUCCAAUUCUUGGUCACUACAGUACCAACUUUCAGCCAUUAAAGUACCAUUUUCCAGAUUUCUUUCCAUCUGUAGAAGUAAGGCCAGUUACUCGUUUCUAUCGUCCAUUCUUUUACACUUAAUUAGUACAAAUAAGAGAAUAUACUUCUAUUUGUUUAAGCACAUUAAAUUUAAUUGUCAUAAUAAUACUUCAACUGUAAUUUUAUUUCUCUAAACAAUGUUCCCAAUAACAAAAAGUUUAUAAAAGAAAAGGAAAUGAGUCACGUGGUUAGCAAAUAGUUUUUGAAUAAUAUAAAAAAUAUUAUAACCAUAUAGCAUCAUUAUGAUAUUUAUUAUAUCUUUCAAAAAAAUAUUUUUGUUUCAAUUCAAAUUUUAAAGAAUAUUUUUCAAAUCAAAUUCAAAAACUAACACCAUGUAAUUCAAAAAUUAUCUAUCAAUUCAAAUGUGAUUUUCUGCACCCUCCAUUCCCUUUUAAGUGGUUUUCUAGCCUUUUACUGUGUUCUAAAAUAAGAAAUCAAGACGGUAUUAAUUUAUAUUUUUUUAAAAUUAUCCUUAUUAAGAGAAUACACGAAAAUUUUAAAAGAGACGAUGGAGCAUCGAAAAAGCAGGAAGAAAUGUUAAAAGAGACAAGACAAGGCGAGUUAAAAUUUGGAUAGGUUAAAUUUAGUUUUGUCUAUCGUUCUGCCCAUUUAUCAUGCUGCAAGCCUUUCUUACUUACUUUUUUAUAUUUUAAACCUCCUUAGUAAAAAACAUGCCUUUGCCACCGCUGGUAGCAUACUUCCCAAGCAAGUCACCAUUACCGGUGUUCCUUACAAUGUUCUCUUCCCAAACAAGUCACUACUUCCAAUGUUAGUAUUCUCUUCACAAAUAAGUCACUAAUCCCUGUGAUACCUAAGAUGUUUAAAUAGGCACAAGAAGUCAAGUUGAAGUGGACAAGGACUGCAAGUCCUAGUAUGGAAGUCAUUAUUAACUAGAAGACAAGUAUCGAUCCCUCCCAAAUGCAAGCUCUAUCGCUAGCUCAGGCUUGGUAGGCCAAGCUUGCUCGCAGUAACCAAGGCCUUAGGUAACAAAAGCAAGAGACAACAAAUAACGGGCCAUCAUGAGGAGUUUUGGGCAAGCCAACCUCUUCCUGUGAUGGCAUCACGCAACGAAGAGAAUGAGUUACUUGAAAGGAGCCCUAGACUUGACAUAUGGUAUUACGAUCAUAGGAGUACUCGUUUCAAGUGUUUUGCAGAUGAUGAUUAGGUUGGUUGCAGAAUUGACAACAGAUCUAUUGUAGGCUAUUGGAUCUCUGUUGGUGGGAACCUGGUAUCAUCAAGGAGCAAGAAGUAAAAUAGUUUAUCUCGAUCCAGUGCAAAAUCUGUGCACAUAUGGCUAUGGCUCAGUUCACAUGUGGAUACAUCACCUUUUAAUCGAAGUUGGUUUGAAAUCUUUGUCGCCAAUAAAACUGUGUGAUAAUCAAGUUGUUCUACACAUUACCUCAAAUUCAAUGUACCACGAAAUGAUUAAACAUAAUGAGGUUGAUUGUCACCUUAUUUGUGGGAAGAUUCAAGUGAACCUAAUCUUCACUAGCUAUGUAAAGGCAAGAGAGAGAUUGGGUGAUAUAUUCACAAAAAAUUCUACAUAGAAACCGCACAGAAUAUCCUUGUAACCAUCUGGUUUAAGAUUUAUGCUACGCCAUGGUAGGAGAGUAUUAUAGAAUUUUUUAUAGUUGUACAUUACCUUGAGUUUUUCAAGGUUUACAGCACUACAUUACCUUGUAUAUGAUAGUAUAUUUGAUUUGUAAGGAUUUCUAAUACUUAUAAAUGAAAUUAUCGAACCCGCAAGUGCAAAAAAUUCAUAGUAGUAAUUUAAAGCAACUGAAAAGCUAUGUUACUCGGACUCUUCAAUGUCAACGGGUGCAUGUCGAAUUCACCAAAAGUAGUGUAUUUUCAGAGAAUCCGACACGAAUGCAACAUCAAAAGUGAAGAGUCCGUGCAACUUGGCUGAAACGUAUCCAACUUUUAGGGCAUUUGAUUUUGCCUUGUUUUUUUUUCCUUCUUUCUCUAAGAAACAAUUGUGUUUGGAUUUGGUCCACUGUUAGUAUUCUCUUCACAAAUAAGUCACUAAUCCCUGUGAUACCUAAGAUGUUUAAAUAGGCACAAGAAGUCAAGUUGAAGUGGACAAGGACUGCAAGUCCUAGUAUGGAAGUCAUUAUUAACUAGUGCUAGUACUCCCCUCUAUCCCAUUUUAUGUAAUAUUUUUUUUCUUUUUAGUCGGUUCAAAAAAGAAUGACAUUUCUAUAUUUAGUAGCAAUGUAACUUUAAACUUCUAAUUUUAUCCUUAAUGAGAUGAUUUAUAGCCACAUAAUCUUUUCUGGCUGAUUUUAGACCGCAAGUUUCAAAAGCCUUUCAUUUUCUUUUAAACUUCAUGCCUAGUCAAAAUACUUUUACAUAUUGUUAGAGUGAGUUAGAUUCCCACAUUGAUUGGAGAAUGAACUGGUGGUUUGCUUAUAUGGACUUGAGCAAUCCUCCCCUCAUAAGCUAGCUUUUGAGGUUGAAUUAGGCUCGAGUGUAUUAUCUUUACAUGCUAUUAAAGAUAGAUCCUUCCUCAUUUGGGCUUUCGGUCCACGUUCCAAUCGGGUCUAGACUUGAAGGGGGGUGCUAGAGUGGGCUAGAGUCCCAACCCCCACAUUGGUUGGGAAUGGACUGGUAGUUUGCUUAUAUGGACUUGACAAUCUUCUCUUCAUGAGCUAGCCUUUGGGGUUGAGUUAGACCCAGGCGUUAAAUCCUUACACAUACAUGAGGAUGGAGGGAGUAUUUCAAAUAGUUACGUACCAUUGUAUUUAUUUAGUUCGUAUGUUCUGUUCAUUCUAAUAUGUCACACAUACAAAAAUGUUUUACUUUAAUACAUUCUUAUUGCUUGGCCUAAAUAUGAGAUUAACCACUUAUUUUUUUGAAACUGGUAACUUUAUCUAUUUCUGUAAUGAUCCAAACAGUACAUAGGUUGCACUGAAACCAUCUUUACAAAAGUACCCUAUACACUACUGCACUGCUAUUACAAUGAGUCUAAAAACAAUUACAGUGAUAGAGUCAUUUGAGUACAUUUGAUUACAUCAAAAACACAAGGUCAAAAUACAAUUCAGCUGGACUUGCUCCAUACUAUUCUCUAUGCUCUCAUAACAUCUGAGAUUCCUCUUCAUCAAAAUUGUCCACCAGAUGCAUGUUGGGACUAUUCUCCAUCUUUUCUUAUUCUCGGCCAGCAUUCCUAUUUCCUCCCAGCUCUACAAAGCUUCUGUGACUUUCCCAGGCAUGGACCAUGAGAUGUUCUCGGGGCUUAAGAAUAGUCUCCAUAGUGUGCUUAACUAUUUCUACAAUUUCACCAUAAAAAAAACAUCUGGGGCAUAGUGUUAUUCUUCUCUUCAUCAAGUUAUCUUGUGUGAGCACUGCUUCCAUGGCCAACAACCAAAGUAUGCAACCUUGUGGGGGAUUUUGACUUUCCAUAUUUGUUUCCAAGCCAACUAUAAGUCUGGUGAUCAACCUGGUUCAACUUCCUGUAAGUUGCACCCACUUUGGAAACCCUUUCUUUAGCUACCUGCCACCUUAAAAUAUCAAUUCCAAUCUCCAAUCCUUAAAAAUGACCAAUGAUGUUUACGAACUUUGUCACCCUUAGGAUUUCUCAGUCAUUUAAGUGUCUUCUGAAAGUGAAGUUUCAUCCUUGUGGUGUCCAUGAUUCUGCUAUAGUACCUUGUUGGUUUAGAACCAGAUUGUGAAAGUCUGCUUCAUGCCAAUCAUCCUUCCAGAAGCCUGUCUUUUCACCAUUCACUACUUUGAUUUUUAGUGUUUGGUUAGUCUUCCCAUAAGGCUCUGAUAGAUCUCCACAAACUCACCCCAUAUGAAGUGGUGACUUCUUUGGUCAUCCAGUUGUCCCCCUCCUCAUACUUAGCUUUAAUCACCCUACUCCACAGAGUCUGUAAUUCAUUAGAGUAUUUCCAAAGCCAUUUCAUUCUUAAAGCCUUGCUUUGUUGCUUGAAAAUCUUGAUCCCCAUACCUCCAAGUCUUUUUCCCUUUAUCACUGCUUUCCACUUGUCUAGGUGAUAACCUUUUCUUUUUUCCUUUUUUUUUGAAAUUGGUAACGAGUUAUAUUCAUCAGUACCCUAAACGGCCUAGUCUAUCAUAUCUACAGAUACAACAUCGAACAAAAACUUACAAAGAGGCUAAAAAGUCUAGUAAUGAUUAAACAUCAUCAACUAACUGUUCUUUACACCAAAAAUAAAGAAGAAAAAUGCAGGAGCUCAGGAGCUCUUGAUCUCUGGAUUGAACUAGUUCUACCUUCAAAACAUCUUGCAUUUCUCUCUUUCCAAAUUGUCCACCAUAUGCAAGCUGGAACAUUCUUUCACCACUCUUUGUGACAAGUUUCUCCUUGUAUAUUGUUCCAACUGCAUAUUAGGUCAAAAGUACUCUGGGGCAUCACCCAAACAAUUUGAGCUAGAGCUGCAAAAAGUUGCCAUAGUUGUAUGGUAAAUGAGCAAUGCAAGAAAAGAUGUUCAUUCGUUUCAGCUUCUUGAUUGCACAAAAAGCACCUAGAACAGAGCAGAAAACCCCUUCUUUGAAGUUUAUCAUGAGUGAGACAAGCUUUCCGUACUACUAACCAAGUAAAACAUACCACUUUGGAAGGAACUUUUGCUUUCCAUAUCUCUUUCCGUGGCCAUGGUUCGUUGAUCUGCUCCAGAUCAAUUAAGUAGUUGUAAGCUGCUUUGACAGAGAAAACAGACUUGGCGCCGCCUUUCCAAGUGAGAAAAUCCUGCUCCUCCUUUAGGCCGGAAACUUCAAGCUUACCCAAGAGAUCUGUAACUCUAGGAAUCUCCCAGUCAUAUAGGAGCCUUCUAAAUACAAUAUUCCACCCUUGUGGAGUCUAAAGCUCUUAACUGUAGCAUUAGGAGAGGAUAAAAUAGUGAACAGAUCAUGGAAAUAAUCUAUUAAAGGCCCAUUCCCUAACCAGUUGUCUUUCCAGAAGGAGAUUUUCAUCCCAUUGCCCAAUCUAACCCCUGUAUUUGCUAUAAACACCUCCAAAGAUUCCUGAUGGAUUUCCAAUUCCCCACUCCAUAAGCAGAAGUCACUGGUUUAGUAGUCCAGUGACCCAAUUGUUCAUGUUUGCACCGUAUAACUUCUCGCCAUAAUGCUUGCUCCUCAAUGUAAUAUCUCUAAAGCCACUUCAAUAAUAGACUUAUAUUUUGUAAUUUAAGAUUUUUGAUUCCCAGUCCUCCCACCUUCUUACUAGAGAUCAGAAUAUUCCACUUGACCAUUUACGUUUGCUGCCCAUGUUCCCUUCCCAAAUAAAGUUUCUUCUCAGCUUGUCGAUGCUUUUCCUCACCUUGUCAGGAAUGGGAAAAAAAGACAUUACAUAGGUGGGAAGAGAGUACAAAACAAUACUGACCAGAAUGACCCUUCCCCCUAAUGACAAGUAUUGGGCUUUCCAUCUUGCAAGCCUCAUUUCACAUCUAUCCAGUACCCCUUCCCAAAUAUCAACAGCUUUAUUUUUUGAGACCAAAGAAAGACCCAAAUAUUUUGUAGGUAGAGCACCCAGCUCACAACCUAAAAUUCCGACCCAAAUAUUUUGUAGGUAGAGCACCCAGCUCACAACCUAAAAUUCCGGCAAGAAUGUAGCAGUUUGGGACUUCAUUGACAGGAAACAUUUGGCUCGCUCUCCAGUUUACAUGAAGUCCGGAGAUACCUUCAAAAACAGUAAGAAUCAAUCUCAACUGCAUCAAUUGAGAAGGUUCUGCAUCAUAAAGUAUCAAAGCAUCAUCUGCAUAAAGAAGAUGUGAGAUCUCUAAACUAUUUUCCCUGUUUUGAACACUGAACCACCUCAAAUCACCAUUAGUUGUAGAGAUUCUCAACAUACUGCUAAGUCCUUUCAUGGCUAUGAUAAAAAGAAAAGGAGAGAGUGGGUCUCCUUGCCUUAAACCCCUUUUGGAUUGAAAAAAUCCUUUAGGGGAUCCAUUAAUAAGAAUAGAGAACUUCACUGUACUGAUGCAAUAGUAGAUCCAUUUAUCCCCAAAGCCCGUUGCCCUCAUAGUAUUGAUCAAAUUCUUCCAGUUAACAUGAUCGAAAGCUUUCUUAAUGUCUAGUUUACAAAGGACGCCAGGUUUCUUAUCCUUCUGCCUAGUAUCAACAUAUUCGUUUGCAAUAAGGGAAGCAUCAACAAUUUGUCUACCUUUAAUGAAGGCCGUCUGGUGUUUGCUUACUAUCUUCUCAAUCACCUUUUUCAUUCUUUCUGCUAAGGUCUUAGAGAUAAUCUUGUAAAUACAGCUAAUCAAGCUAAUUGGAAUAUAAUCUCUCAACUCUUUGGCUCCAUUUUCCUUUGGAAUAAGAGCCACAUAUGUAGCAUUAAGACUUUUCUCAAAAAAAGCAUGAGAGUGAAAAUUUCCCAUAGUCCGGAGGAUGUCCACCAUCAGAAAUUCCCAGCAAGCACUGAGAAAUCCCAUUGAAUAGCCGUCGGGACCUGGGGCUUUGUCUUCUAUACAUAAUUUGAUACUGUGAAACACCUCCUGCUCUUCGAAAGGCCUCUCCAACCAUAAUUUUUCCUCAUCAGAGAUUGAGCUCUGGAUGAUAAAGCUGGGCCUCCAUGAUUCAGAUUCAGAAUACAUCUGUUUGUAAAAAGUGAUGAUUUCUUCUUUGAUGACAUUUGAGUUGCUGACUUCCUCUCCCUGGAUCUCCAGUUUGUCUAUAGUAUUUGAUCUCCUAUAAGCAUUUGCCAUCUUGUGAAAGAACUUAGUGUUCUUAUCUCCCUGUUUUAACCAUAUAAUUCUUAACUUUUGCCUCCAAGAAGACUCCUCAUAUUUGGAAAUUUCAUCAAAGUCCAUUGAUAAAUUGGCUUUGUGAAUCCAUUCACCAUCAGUAAGGUUUCUUUGUUCCUGCAAAAUAUCAAGAUUUGUUAGUUGGGCCAGUAACUUUGAUNNNNNNNNNNNNNNNNNNNNGGCAUUCCACUCCUUUAGUUUAGCUUUCAACAAUUUCAACUUCGAAGCUAAAACAAAGUCUGAACGGCCUUGAACUGCAAAAGAGAGCCACCAAGAUUUAACCAUAUCUUUGAACCCAUCUACCUCCAACCACCAGUAAGCAAACUUGAAAUAAGACUUCCUUUGGUCCCAAUGUCCACAAGCAAGUUGGAUUGGACAGUGAUCUGAAACAAUUCUGGGCAACAAAUAUUGCCUGAUCUUGCUAAAUUGUUCAUCCCAUUCAGUUGAAAGAGAAACCUAUCAAUUCUUGAAGCAAUACCUUGGUUGUUCCCUUUAUUCCAAGUGAAGGAACCUCCGGAAAGAGGAGGAUCUACUAGCUCAAGUUCAUUGAUUGAGUUAGAAAACUCCUUCAUAGCUCUUGUGAGAUUGUGGGUGUUGCUUCUUUCGCUAGAAAAUCUAGUAGUGUUGAAAUCACCACAAAUAACCCAUGGUCCAUUAAAUAGACCCCUUGAAGCUGAUAACUCCCACCAUAGUUCUAACCUCUCCCUUCUGUUGUUUUAUCCAUAAACCCCUGUGAUGAACCAUGUGAAGUCUUGUCUAGAGUCAGUGAGCUUAUAGGUAAUACUUUGACUGCCCGACUCAACCAAUUCCCCAUCCAACACUCCUUUAUCCCACAUGAUGAGAAUGCCUCCACUAGUUCCAAUAGCCUCAAGGUUGACAAAAUCUACCCAUCUGUUACCCCAUACAUGACUAGCUAUGUUGGUCAUAUCCCCUUCUAUUUUUGUUUCUUGUAGAACCACCACAUCACAUCUCCAUUCCUUGAGUGUUUUAAUUAAUCCCUUUUUUUCCCCAUCAUUCAGUCCCCUCACAUUCCAUGAUAGAAUGUUUAUCUUCAUUAAUCCACUUUGAGAUUGUCCCUCCCCCUAAUCCUUGGUUGUCCGUCUUAGAUCAAACCUUUCAAUUGUUUCUACCCCUUUGGCUUGAAUUCAGGUGUUGUGCCUACUAAAAAUUUUCCCAUAAGAGACAGAGCAUCCUCUUCACACCCUUCAAACUCAACUCCGAAUUGUUUGCUAAGUUUGAUGAUGUUCAAGUGCACCCACAGUGAAGCUUUUGAUUCAACCUUUUCAAUGAGAAGUUCAGUAGAAGGAAUAUCUUCUAUAUUGCAUGGUGAUGGUUCCCAUAUAAGACCAUCUGUGAAUCCCUUUCAACCUCAUGGGAAGUCUCCCCUGUUUUAAUGGGGCCAGAGAUACCCAUCACUUGGAUGGAUUGGGAGUUUGAGACUUGGUUUUGUUUAGUAUAAAAAUCAGGAACCAGAGAGAAAAGAGUGAGUGGAAGAAAAGACUUCCAGUUGCAUGGGAUCAAAAAAUUCUGUCGUAGGUUCCAAAGAGGGCACAGACAAACAUAAUAGGCGGUUCAAUUUUCUCAGAACUGGUGAUUUUUAAUAUGGUUGUUUUGCUGAUGGUUGUCUUAUUUAUUGGGCUUAAUGGAACUGGCCCAAUAGCUGAACUUAUCUAAACCAAUUGAACUUCUUUAAGAAAGCAUGUGUCAGCUGACUCUUCUCCACAUGUGAGGUGUUUAAAAUUCAAACCCUCGUCUCUUCCCAAGGAUUGUACCUCCCUAGCCCUAGCCUCAACAUAGGGUCUAGAAGGCCCUGUUUCUAUAUUUUUCGAUAAGCAUCGCCGGACCCUAGCUGGAAUUUCAACCUAGAGAGAGUGUAUAGAAAUACCCUUUAUGUUCUAUCUCCACCGUUCUGGGAAUCGAAUUGGGUGAGCCUUUGGCCUUUAUUCUUGCCCAUCUUAAAUGAUUUUUUAGAGUUGAUUCCCCUUCCAUCUCGAUUCAUCCACCACAAUAAUCUCCAAUUUCUUUCAUGACAAUUGGGGUCCAGAGGCUGAGAGGAAGUCCAAGAAUCCUAACCCAAGACCACUUGAGACUAACUUUUUCAUCGACGCACCCAGAAGUUGGUGUCCACCAUGAAAGGUCUAGUGUAGCUUGCCGCAUACUCCAGUGGCCAAGCUUGACUUGCUCUGCUGAGGCUCGGGAAGGGAACUCGAAAAGAAAUUGAAACCCAUUCAUGUCGAAGACACCCACUGUGUUACCCCAUUUGCUUAACACCCAUCUUCUCACUUUUGCUAUGGUGGGAACAAGAUAGCAAUCACCAGAAAAGCAGCCCACUAAACAUCUGUUGAGGAUGUCCUCCGAAAGACCAGAAAAACCAACAAUCUUUAUACAUCUGUUAUCGUUGUUCGAAAUUUUCAGAUUCCCAUUUUUUGUCGGCCAUCUGUGUCUUGUGGUAGUUUCUGCAAGGGUUGAGCUCAUCUUUGGUGGUUGUAAAAUUUCCUUCUGUAUUGGCGAACCCCUCCUAUUAAUGAACGCUUUAAUUUUCUGUGCUAACAUAUCCCAUCCCCCAUUAAAUACAGACUCUGGACUAAUAAUGAUGGAUCUUCGUUGACCUUGCACUGCUAUGAUGCUAAUGAAUCUCCCUGCCCUAUUAAAUUUCUGAGAACUUGGAAGGGUGCUCAUUCAUUCUCCAUCUUUUAACUUUGUUACCGCUGGCUUUGGACGCGAAACAUAAUAAAUGACACAGCCAGAGUAAAACUUUCUAGCUUAAAAUCAUGGUUCUUAAUGAUAACCUACUCCUUUCGACCCAAUCGUACCAGAAUUCAGAAGAGGAGUAGCUCUCGGUGAUGUCAUAAGUUUUAUCACUCGCCCGAAAAUAUAAUUUGUUGUCCGAAGGUCCAUUCAUCGUACCAGUUUUGAGAGAGUAAGAGAGGUGGUGAGAGCUAAAUAGGAAAAUUUAGUAAAACAGUAAUCACAGGAUGUAAAAACUGAGUUAUUUGGAAGAAGAGGAUCAAUUCCUGCAAAUCUACCAGAAAAGAGAAGUUCUGCAGUCCUAGAAAGUAGGAGCGAGAGUGUCGUUGAUAAAUGUGUCUGGGAGCAUUUUUUUUUAGUCGAUAACCUUUUCUUUCCUAGAAACUUCUCCUGAUGCUAUCCAACCUAUUGAUACAAUUACUCCAUUCCAUAUUUCUAUGGAUUUGGAUUUGGUACCCAGUGGCAUACCCAAGUAGAUGAUCGGUAGGACACUAACUUCAACUCCUAAGAUAGCAUCCAACCCUUUCAUAUUUGCCACCUCAUUAACAGAGUACAAGAAGCUUUUCUUCCCGUUGACAUGUAGUCCAGAGAUUCCUUCAAAGAGUACCAAAAUUAGUCUUAUGAUUUUUAAUUGAUUUUCUUCAGCUUCACAGAAUAUCAAUGUGUCAUUUGCAUAUUAGAGAUGAGUAAUUUCCAAACUCUCACGUCCAGCUCUAGCAACUUCAAACCCCUUAGCCAACCAUUAUUAUUGGCAGUUUUUAUCAUGUUGUUUGAUCCCUCCAUGGCUAAGAUGAACAAAAAUGGGGCGGGUCGCCUUGUCGUAGGUUUCUUUGAUGUAAAAAAGCACUACUGGUGAUCCGUUGAUAAAUAUGGAAAACCUUACUAUUGAGAUACAAAAUUUUAUCCACUGAAUCCAUCUUUGUCCAAACCCCAUCUUUUCCAGGACACACAUAAGAAAACCCAGUUGACAUGGUCAUAUGCUUUCUCGAUGUCCAAACAACAACAACAACAAACCCAGUGUAUUCCCACCUAGUGGGGUCUGGGGGUUUAAGAUGUACGCAGUCCAUACCUCUACCUCUGAAGAAGUAGAAAGGCUGUUUCUGAUAGACCCCCGGCUCAAGGCACGAGAUACCACACAAACACAUAGUAAAGCACAGAAGCAGAUUACAUAACAUAAAUACGGCACCCAUAAGUAAUAUAAAACAGAGGAGAGCAGAGGAAAGCACACAAAUUCGUAAUGAAACAUGGAACACGGAACACGGAAUCAUAACAGGAAUAAAACCCCCCCCAAGUAGGGCCUACCCCUACCUCGCCUAAAACCAUCCAACGCUAGCCUCUCACACCUACGGACCGGGGCAUCCAUGCCCCUCCUCUUCACGUGCCCGAACCAUCUCAAUCGUGCUUCCCGCAUCUUGCACUCCACUGAAGUCACACCAACCUUCUCCCGGAUAGUCUCAUUCCGAACUCUAUCCCCUCUAGUCAGCCCACAUAUCCAGCGCAACAUCCGCAUUUCUGCCACCUUCAUUUUUCGGAUGUGGGAAUUCUUAACUGGCCAACACUCCGCUCCAUACAACAAGGCCGGACGGACUACCACCCUGUAGAAUUUGCCUUUAAGCUUGGGCGGCACCUUCUUAUCACACAGCACCCCCGACGCGAGCUUCCACUUCAUCCAUCCCGCCCCAAUACGGUGCGAGACAUCCUCGUCAAUCUCACCGUUACUCUGGAUCACGGACCCAAGAUACUUGAAAUUAUCCCUCUUACAUACCUCCUGUGCUUCCAGCUUCACUACUACCUCAUUCUGCCGCCUCACGUCAUUAAACUUGCAUUU
rnacentral:lncRNA from 1 species